GCUAAAACACCAGUUCUAGUAUGAUCACUGAAGUUAAGCAACAUCGAGCCUGGUCAGUACCUAGACAGGUGACCACUUGGGAAUAUCAGGUGCUGUAA